GAUGAACACUGGCGGCGUGCCUAAUACAUGCAAGUCGAGCGAACGGACGAGAAGCUUGCUUCUCUGAUGUUAGCGGCGGACGGGUGAGUAACACGUGGAUAACCUACCUAUAAGACUGGGAUAACUUCGGGAAACCGGAGCUAAUACCGGAUAAUAUUUUGAACCGCAUGGUUCAAAAGUGAAAGACGGUCUUGCUGUCACUUAUAGAUGGGUCCGCGCUGCAUUAGCUAGUUGGUAAGGUAACGGCUUACCAAGGCAACGAUGCAUAGCCGACCUGAGAGGGUGAUCGGCCACACUGGAACUGAGACACGGUCCAGACUCCUACGGGAGGCAGCAGUAGGGAAUCUUCCGCAAUGGGCGAAAGCCUGACGGAGCAACGCCGCGUGAGUGAUGAAGGUCUUCGGAUCGUAAAACUCUGUUAUUAGGGAAGAACAUAUGUGUAAGUAACUGUGCACAUCUUGACGGUACCUAAUCAGAAAGCCACGGCUAACUACGUG
rnacentral:rRNA from 1 species